UUCUGAAGCGGCUCUCCAGGGCAGAUCUUCCGAGCGACCCGCCCUAUGUUAGAAAUAGCAAAAUCCAAUAAUAACAACACUCCACAAAAAAGAAAAAAACAAAAGAAAAAAAAGUGUCAACUUUGAUCACGCAUGCUCCCUUGUCAGGCACCUUAUACACAACAUUUGUUCUAACUUAGAAAGUCGCGGGAAAGCCAGGAAGUAACGUUACAGUAAGCCAAUCAGUUGAGGGGAAACAUCUCAUGUUUAAAAUGCCUGUGAUAUCAGAGAGAAGCUGUUUGGACUCUCAUUCUGAUGGCACCCAUUCACUGCAGAGGAUCCACUGGUGAGCAAGUGAUGUAAUGCAAAAUUUCUUCCAUAUCUGUUCUGUUUACUUGGUUCAGUCAAAAACAAAGAUUUAUUUGAGGUUUUGCUGAUUUACUGCUAGUGUCUAGGAGCU